GACGAACGCUGGCGGCGCGCCUAACACAUGCCAGUCGAGCGAUGAAAUUUUAAACGAUCUCUUCGGCGAGAAGAUAAAUUGGAUUAGCGGCAGACGGGUGAGUAACACGUGAGAAACCUACCUUUCACAAGGGGAUAGCCUCGGGAAACCGGGAUUAAUACCCUAUAACACUUUUCCUUCGCAUGUCAGAAAUAUUAAAACUCCGGUGGUGAAAGAUGGUCUCGCGUCUGAUUAGCUAGUUGGUGGGGUAACGGCCCACCAUGGCCAUGAUGAGUAACCGGCCUGAGAGGGUGAACGGUCACACUGGAACUGAGACACGGUCCAAACUCCUACGGGAGGCAGCAGUGGGGAAUAUUGCACAAUGGAGGAAACUCUGAUGCAGCGACGCCGCGUGAGCGAUGAAGGCAUUCGAGUCGUAAAGCUCUGUUCUAUGGGAAGAUAAUGACGGUACCAUAGGAGGAAGCCCCGGCUAACUACGUG
rnacentral:rRNA from 1 species